GGAGGGCAUGGCUCAGUGGUAGAGUAUUCGCUUGUCAUGCGGAAGGUGCCGGGUUCAAUCCCCGGCAUCUCCA